rnacentral:misc_RNA from 1 species
GAUGAAGAACGUAGCGAAAUGCGAUAAGUAAUGUGAAUUGCAGAAUUCAGUGAAUCAUCGAAUCUUUGAACGCACCUUGCACCCUUUGGACUGCUCCAAAGGGUAUGCUCGUUUGAGUGUCAUUGUACUCUCACACUCUCUGAUCCUUUGGAUUUGGGGAGCAGUGGACUUGGGUGCUUGCUGCUUCCUUGUGGCUCACCUGAAAUGCAUCAGUGCAUCUCUCGAUUGGACAUAGUACGGCGUGAUAAGUGUCUUCGCCGGCACCUCAUAUGAGGGUGGCCGAUCGGGAGCUCUGUGCUUUCAAACCGUCUUCGGACAACGAUGACAACUUGACCUCAAAUCGAGUAGGACUACCCGCUGAACUUAAGCAUAUCAAUAAGCGGAGGA